rnacentral:misc_RNA from 1 species
UGUGUUGCUUACCUAUCGAAAGGAAUCSGAYGGUUUCGUUMGUCCCUYUUUGCCCCCGGCCCUCGCGGGCUACGGGGUGGACAUCAGGCACGCCCCGUGUUCCCGGCAAGCCUCUUGGCUGCCUCGGCCCACGGUGCGCUCUGCCCAUUCUCUCGGACUCAGAACGUUACGUGCGGGCAUGGGGUCUGUCGACUCCGWUUGUCGAGCAACGCAUCUGUCCCUCGACGCGAACGACUGUCGUGCCCGUCUUGAGCCCAUGGCCUCACGGCCCGUCGGGCUUCAUGCAGGCAUCAACAUCGCGAARGAAUGCUACCUGKUUGAUCCUGCC